rnacentral:rRNA from 1 species
AGAGUUUGAUCCUGGCUCAGAGUGAACGCUGGCGGCGUGCCUAACACAUGCAAGUCGAACGAUGAUGGAGAGCUUGCUCUCCUGAUUAGUGGCGCACGGGUGAGUAUACCAUAGAUAAUGUACCCCUUAGUUCGGGAUAGCCACUGGAAACGGUGAUUAAUACCGGAUACUCCUUCUCAUUAUAAGAUGAGUCGGGAAAGUUUUUUCGCUAAGGGAUCAGUCUAUGUCCUAUCAGCUAGUUGGUGAGGUAAUGGCUCACCAAGGCUAUGACGGGUAUCUGGUUUGAGAGGAUGAUCAGACACACUGGAACUGAGACACGGUCCAGACUCCUACGGGAGGCAGCAGUGAGGAAUAUUGCACAAUGGAGGAAACUCUGAUGCAGCGACGCCGCGUGGAGGAUGACGCAUUUCGGUGUGUAAACUCCUUUUAAGAGGGAAGAUUAUGACGGUACCUCUUGAAUAAGCACCGGCUAACUCCGUGCCAGCAGCCGCGGU